rnacentral:rRNA from 1 species
GACGUAGGGCGCGAGCGUUGUCCGGAUUUAUUGGGCGUAAAGAGCUCGUAGGCGGCUUGUCGCGUCGAAUGUGAAAACCCACGGCUCAACUGUGGGCUUGCAUUCGAUACGGGCAGGCUAGAGUUCGGUAGGGGAGACUGGAAUUCCUGGUGUAGCGGUGAAAUGCGCAGAUAUCAGGAGGAACACCGGUGGCGAAGGCAGGUCUCUGGGCCACUACUGACGCUGAGAAGCGAAAGCAUGGGGAGCGAACAGG